CCCUACGGGGGGCAGCAGUGAGGAAUAUUGGUCAAUGGGCGGAAGCCUGAACCAGCCAAGUCGCGUGAGGGAAUAAGGCCCUACGGGUCGUAAACCUCUUUUGUCGGGGAGCAAAGAGAUCACGUGUGGUCAAAAGCGAGAGUACCCGAAGAAAAAGCAUCGGCUAACUCCGUGCCAGCAGCCGCGGUAAUACGGAGGAUGCGAGCGUUAUCCGGAUUUAUUGGGUUUAAAGGGUGCGUAGGCGGGACGGUAAGUCAGCGGUAAAAAUGCGGAGCUCAACUCCGUCGAGCCGUUGAAACUGCCGG
rnacentral:rRNA from 1 species